GAACGGACCAAAGAAGAGUUUUUUGACAACAUGUUUGCCGCUAUGAUGUACACAUGUACGGAAUCGACGCUCCAGUCUCUACGAACUAUCACUGGCCGGCCGGAACGCCUUGUUUACAAAAUCGACAAAAAUGGAGGUUUAUUCCGAGCAAACCGCGGAUAAAACCGUCUUGUCCUGAUAAUGGAUCAGGAUUAGUCAUCUACGAUUUCGUGACUUUCGGGCCACCAGUGUUUAUUUACUUACGCCGCUCAUGAAGGCAAUACGAAGCAGAUUCCGUUUCCGUAAUAACACAGCGGUUCGAUGUGGGCUCGAGCGAACCUAAACUAUCCGGCGCGCCAACCGGUCCGACAGACUUUGUGAUGAAUCAUCGAGUACACGAACGCAAUGAGCUUUUGUGGUUUCGAUUCUACAUUAUAUGAUAUUGCUAAAUAUCUUUUAAUUUAAUGUAAUCCUUCCAAUAUGUUAAACGAAACCUACGACUUGCAUAACAAGAACGCAAAGACACAUUUAUAUAAAUUGCUCUCUAGCAGUACCUUGCGGUAACUAACAAGGAAGUUAGACCAAACGAAUAAUUGCCCAGAUUAGAAUGAUUAGAAUUAAACAUCAACACAAUUUUUAUAUCAAAACAAAACGCACUUCACAUUCGCCUGGCAAAACUGAUUUCGUUAUCCCAGUACAUUUGGUUAGGAAUAAACCACCUACAUAAGUAAAAAUAUUUAA